rnacentral:lncRNA from 1 species
CCGGGCCGUCUGCGCGGGGUGGUGCCGCGUGUGCACCCGAGAGGGCCGACAUGUUGGGGUGCACGUGGUGGCGCGCGAGCUCCUGCACGCUCGUCGCCCGUCGGUGGCGCCCUAUGCCGUCCGCGCGGCGCAGAGCCAGCGACUUCCCGCCAGCGGCUUUUCUGGCGGGCGAGGGCCGGGCCGGGCCAAUGGGGACGCGGUGACCUCAUCAGGCCUGCGUGUCACCACGUGCGCAGCGGCGCGGGGAGGGGGUGUGUCCCUCGGAUACGGAUACGGAGCGCGGCCUCACCCCCGCUGCUGAGGGCUCGGGAGCAGCCGGCCCAGCGCGCCGCACCGCGGUGCACCCCGGCGCUCCUCUCUGCGCCCCGACGCCGUUUCGGCAGCGCAGCCCGAGGCCCGUCUCUCCGCAGCCCGAGCCCGAGGCCGGUGUCUCUGUCCACAGCCCGAUGUCUCCGCCCGAGGUCCGUGGCUCCGCGGCCCGACGCCGGACUGUCCGCAGCCCGGGGUCUCCGCAGCCUGAGGCCCGUGGCUCCGCGGCCCGACGCCGGACCGUCCGC